ACAAGCAACCACAAAAACUACUCUCCCCUUAGCAGUAGUACAUUCCUACCAUAGCAUGUUAAUAAACAUGUCAAGACAUGUGUCAUAACACCAGGACAAACAAAAACAUACUAAGAUUUUACUCCCCCUCUUUAGCCAAAAAUUGACAAAAAUUUAGUAAAUGUAAACACGAAUAAAAGCAUACAUAUUGCACACAAUAGCAGGUGGAAACAC
rnacentral:lncRNA from 1 species